rnacentral:tRNA from 1 species
GCACCCGUAGCUCAACUGGAUAGAGUAUCUGACUACGGAUCAGAAGGUUAGUGGUUCGAAUCCUCUCGGGUGCGCCA